GCUAUUAUUUACUUGAUUUAGAUUCCAUACGUGGAUAACUGUGGCAAUUCUAGAGCUAAUACAUGCACCAAAGCUCCGACUCGUUGACGAGCGCAUCUAUUAGAAUAAAACCAAUCGAGACAGUGUCUCGUCCAUUUGGUGACUCUGAAUAGCUUAGCUGAUCGCAUGGUCACGCACCGGCGACGUAUCUAUCAAGUAUCUGCCUUAUCAACUUUCGAUGGUAGUUUAUAUGACUACCAUGGUUGUAACGGGUAACGGAGAAUAAGGGUUCGACUCCGGAGAGGGAGCCUGAGAAACGGCUACCACUUCCAAGGAAGGCAGCAGGCGCGCAAAUUACCCACUCUCAGCUCAGAGGAGGUAGUGACGAAAAAUAACGAGACCGUACUCGAUGAGGCCGGUUAUCGGAAUGGGUACAAUUUAAACCCGUUAACGAGGAUCUAUGAGAGGGCAAGUCUGGUGCCAGCAGCCGCGGUAAUUCCAGCUCUCAAAGUGUAUAUCGGCAUUGCUGCGGUUAAAAAGCUCGUAGUUGGAUUUCAGCCUUACGACGUGGUCCAUUCAUUGAAUGCGAACUACGCCUCGUAGGCUAUAUUGAUGUUGGUUUUUCCUUACGUUGCUCUAAUCGGCUGCGUAAGGUGGCUAACGAGUUUACCUUGAAAAAAUUAGAGUGCUCAACGCGGGCUAACGCCUGAAUACUCGUGCAUGGAAUAAUGGAAUAGGAUCUCGGUUCUAUUUUGUUGGUUUUCUGAUCUGAGAUAAUGGUUAAGAGGGACAGACGGGGGCAUUCGUAUCGCUGCGUGAGAGGUGAAAU
rnacentral:rRNA from 1 species